rnacentral:rRNA from 1 species
UACGUAGGGUGCAAGCGUUUGUCCGGAAUUAUUGGGCGUAAAGAGCUCGUAGGCGGUCUGUCGCGUCUGCUGUGAAAACUCAGGGCUUAACCCUGAGCUUGCAGUGGGUACGGGCAGACUAGAGUGCGGUAGGGGAGACUGGAAUUCCUGGUGUAGCGGUGAAAUGCGCAGAUAUCAGGAGGGAACACCGGUGGGCGAAGGCGGGACUCUGGGCCGAUACUGACGCUGGAGGAGCGAAAGCGUGGGGAGCGAACAGG